rnacentral:rRNA from 1 species
GGGCGCUUGCUACCAUGCAGUCGAGCGAUGAAGCUUCCUUCGGGAAGUGGAUUAGCGGCGGACGGGUGAGUAACACGUGGGUAACCUGCCUCAAAGUGGGGAAUAGCCUUCCGAAAGGAAGAUUAAUACCGCAUAAUGUAAGAGAAUCGCAUGAUUUCUUACCAAAGAUUUAUCGCUUUGAGAUGGACCCGCGGCGCAUUAGCUAGUUGGUGAGGUAAAUGCUCACCAAGGCAACGAUGCGUAGCCGACCUGAGAGGGUGAUCGGCCACAUUGGAACUGAGACGCGGUCCAGACUCCUACGGGAGGCAGCAGUGGGGAAUAUUGCGCAAUGGGGGAAACCCUGACGCAGCAACGCCGCGUGAGUGAUGAAGGUCUUCGGAUUGUAAAGCUCUGUUUUCUAGGACGAUAAUGACGGUACUAGAGGAGGAAGCCACGGCUAACUACGUGCCAGCAGCCGCGGUAAUACGUAGGUGGCGAGCGUUGUCCGGAUUUACUGGGCGUAAAGGGUGCGUAGGCG